AAUUAGCUAGCUCAAUUGGUAGAGCAUGAGAUUCUUAAUCUCAGGGUUGUGGGUUCGAGCCCCACGUUGGGCA
rfam:Mesocricetus auratus contig032505, whole genome shotgun sequence.